UCUUGUGAUUACUUUCUAUUACACUUAGUGUAUGCUGUAGAAAAAAACACUGCUGUUGAGGGCGUGUUGCCCCCUUGUGUCUGAAUAAUGUCACCAAACUGGUGAAAAGUUGUGUUAUUCUGCCAUCUACCGGUAGAAAACCAAACAGCUCAUUUCCCGAACACAACCGUGAAAGUAUAAGUGCACUGCAAGCUGCAGAGAAACACAAGAUAAUGAUUAUCCAGCAUUCUUUUGACCGAGGUGAAGCAGAGACAAAGCUCGGCUCGAUCAGGACGACGUCUUGGCUAAACCCCCGCCGUGCCUCCCCAGAAUGCCCACAGCCAAUCAAUAUAACUGCAGUUGGAGCUACAGUUCGUCAACCCAGGCCUUUUAAAAUUCUCAGUUCUGAAAGCCGGCUAAUGUCCUUCACCCACCACACUUCCACUUUGUCGUCACUUGAGUAGCUGAUGUGAGGUAUUUUCUUCCUCGUCGAAGAACCACAGAAUCCAGCGAGACAAUUGGAUUGCAAUGGACUAAUAGUCAACUUUUCUGAAUACAUCUGCGCAAGUUUUUAUUUGGUGAAAAGGAGUCAAAUUGAACAAUUUUACACCCAGUUUGGAUAUGGAGUUAUGUGUUUUGAUAUUAAGCUUUUUUUGUCAAGUAUUCUAUAACGUUCUGUAAAUUUC